rnacentral:tRNA from 2 species
CCGACCAUAGCUCAGUUGGUAGAGCGGAGGACUGUAGUUGUUACAGGCAUCCUUAGGUCACUGGUUCGAAUCCGGUUGGUCGGA